GCACAGCUUCAACUAGAACGAACCACAGCUUCAACACCUUCAAGACUACUCGCGUGUAGCUUCAAAGACGUUUAGCUUGUAACUCUCUAAAGAUCAAACCCCAGAUUCAAAUGAACCUGGCUCUGAUACCAUAUGAGAUCAAGAGAUCUUUAGAGUGAUUAGAGUAAAGAGAGUGUUUAGGAAGUGAUUAAGAGAAGUUUGUGAAAGAUUAAGAGACUAGAAAGAGCCGUUUAGUGUCUAAGAGAAAACCAUAGUCUAAGAGAUUAGAGAG
rnacentral:lncRNA from 1 species